rnacentral:rRNA from 1 species
UUGUCUCAAAGAUUAAGCCAUGCUUGUCUCAGUACAAACCAAAUUAAGGUGAAACCGCGAAAGGCUCAUUAAAUCAGUUAUGGUUCCUUAGAUCGUACCCCACAUUACUUGGAUAACUGUGGUAAUUCUAGAGCUAAUACAUGCUAACAGAAUCUCUGACCGGAAACGGAAAGAGUGCUUUUAUUAGAUCAAAACCAAUCGGUCGCGAGCUUGCUCGCCACCGUACAAUUUUGGUGACUCUGAAUAACUUUUGCUGAUCGCACGGUCUCGCACCGGCGACGCAUCUUUCAAAUGUCUGCCUUAUCAACUGUCGAUGGUAGGUUCUGCGCCUACCAUGGUUGUAACGGGUAACGGGGAAUCAGGGUUCGAUUCCGGAGAGGGAGCCUGAGAAACGGCUACCACAUCCAAGGAAGGCAGCAGGCGCGCAAAUUACCCACUCCCAGCACGGGGAGGUAGUGACGAAAAAUAACGAUACGGGACUCAUCCGAGGCCCCGUAAUCGGAAUGAGGACACUCUAAAAAUUUUCACGAGGAUCAAUUGGAGGGAAAGUCUGGUGCCAGCAGCCGCGGUAAUUCCAGCUCCAAUAGCGUAUAUUAAAGUUGUUGCGGUUAAAAAGCUCGUAGUCGAAUCUGUGUCUCGCACCGCCGGUUCAUAGCUUGCUGUGUUCAACUGGUGUGACGCGGGACGUCCUGCCGGUGGGCUUAGCUUUUCGGAGCAGGCCCAACCUAUACCCAUCGCGGUGCUCUUCAUUGAGUGUCGAGGUGGGCCGGCACGUUUACUUUGAACAAAUUAGAGUGCUUAAAGCGGGCUAACAAUUUUGCCUGAAUACUGUGUGCAUGGAAUAAUGGAAUAGGACCUCGGUUCUAUUUUGUUGGUUUUCGGAACCACGAGGUAAUGAUUAAUAGGAACGGAUGGGGGCAUUCGUAUUGCGACGUUAGAGGUGAAAUUCUUGGAUCGUCGCAAGACGGACUAAAGCGAAAGCAUUUGCCAAAAACGUUUUCAUUGAUCAAGAACGAAAGUUAGAGGUUCGAAGGCGAUCAGAUACCGCCCUAGUUCUAACCAUAAACGAUGCCAGCUAGCGAUCCGCCGACGUUCCUCCGAUGACUCGGCGGGCAGUUUCCGGGAAACCAAAGCUUUUGGGUUCCGGGGGAAGUAUGGUUGCAAAGCUGAAACUUAAAGGAAUUGACGGAAGGGCACCACCAGGAGUGGAGCCUGCGGCUUAAUUUGACUCAACACGGGAAACCUCACCAGGCCCGGACACCGGAAGGAUUGACAGAUUGAGAGCUCUUUCUUGAUUCGGUGGUUGGUGGUGCAUGGUCGUUCUUAGUUGGUGGAGCGAUUUGUCUGGUUAAUUCCGUUAACGAACGAGACUCUGUCCUACUAAAUAGGCGCAUUACGACAUCUCAAAGGCCCGCCGGCCCGGCUUUCGGGUCGUGGUCGUAGCGCGGUUUUUACUGUCGGCGUACAUAUAAAAUCUUCUUAGAGGCACAAACGGCGACUAGUCGUACGAGAUAGAGCAAUAACAGGUCUGUGAUGCCCUUAGAUGUUCUGGGCCGCACGCGCGCUACACUGAAGGGACCAGCGUGUCUAAUCCCUGGCCGAGAGGUCCGGGUAACCCGCUGAACCCCCUUCGUGCUAGGGAUUGGGGCUUGCAAUUAUUCCCCAUGAACGAGGAAUUCCCAGUAAGCGCGAGUCAUCAGCUCGCGUUGAUUACGUCCCUGCCCUUUGUCCACACCGCCCGUCGCUACUACUGAUUGAGUGAUUUAGUGAGGUCUUCAGACUGGUACGCGGUGGCGCUUCGACGUGGCCGAUGCUGCUGGGAAGAUGACCAAACUUGAUUACUU